rnacentral:rRNA from 1 species
GCUCAGACGAACGCUGGCGGCGUGCUUAACACAUGCAAGUCGAACGGUAAGGCCCCUUCGGGGGUACACGAGUGGCGAACGGGUGAGUAACACGUGGGUAAUCUGCCCUGCACUUCGGGAUAAGCCUGGGAAACCGGGUCUAAUACCGGAUAUUCAACUUCUGCCGCAUGGUGGGGGUUGGAAAGUUUUUCGGUGCAGGAUGAGCCCGCGGCCUAUCAGCUUGUUGGUGGGGUAAUGGCCUACCAAGGCGACGACGGGUAGCCGGCCUGAGAGGGUGAUCGGCCACACUGGGACUGAGACACGGCCCAGACUCCUACGGGAGGCAGCAGUGGGGAAUAUUGCACAAUGGGCGAAAGCCUGAUGCAGCGACGCCGCGUGGGGGAUGACGGUCUUCGGAUUGUAAACCCCUUUCAGUAGGGACGAAGCGCAAGUGACGGUACCUGCAGAAGAAGCACCG